GCCGGCGUAGCUCAGUUGGUUAGAGCGGAGGACUCAUAAGCCUCAGGUCGUUGGUUCAAUUCCAACCGCCGGUACCA
rnacentral:tRNA from 1 species